CUGCAGUCGAGCGGGGAAAGUAGCUUGCUACUUAACCUAGCGGCGGACGGGUGAGUAAUGCUUAGGAAUCUGCCUAUUAGUGGGGGACAACAUCUCGAAAGGGAUGCUAAUACCGCAUACGUCCUACGGGAGAAAGCAGGGGACCUUCGGGCCUUGCGCUAAUAGAUGAGCCUAAGUCGGAUUAGCUAGUUGGUGGGGUAAAGGCCUACCAAGGCGACGAUCUGUAGCGGGUCUGAGAGGAUGAUCCGCCACACUGGGACUGAGACACGGCCCAGACUCCUACGGGAGGCAGCAGUGGGGAAUAUUGGACAAUGGGGGGAACCCUGAUCCAGCCAUGCCGCGUGUGUGAAGAAGGCCUUUUGGUUGUAAAGCACUUUAAGCGAGGAGGAGGCUACCGAGAUUAAUACUCUUGGAUAGUGGACGUUACUCGCAGAAUAAGCACCGGCUAACUCUGUGCCAGCAGCCGCGGUAAUACAGAGGGUGCAAGCGUUAAUCGGAUUUACUGGGCGUAAAGCGCGCGUAGGUGGCCAAUUAAGUCAAAUGUGAAAUCCCCGAGCUUAACUUGGGAAUUGCAUUCGAUACUGGUUGGCUAGAGUAUGGGAGAGGAUGGUAGAAUUCCAGGUGUAGCGGUGAAAUGCGUAGAGAUCUGGAGGAAUACCGAUGGCGAAGGCAGCCAUCUGGCCUAAUACUGACACUGAGGUGCGAAAGCAUGGGGAGCAAACAGGAUUAGAUACCCUGGUAGUCCAUGCCGUAAACGAUGUCUACUAGCCGUUGGGGCCGUAUCUGCG
rnacentral:rRNA from 1 species